CAUUAAGAAGCUAUGAAUCAGCAAUAGCCUUUUAAGCUGUAGAUAGGAAAUUAAAAUCUCCCUUAAUGA
rnacentral:tRNA from 1 species